GAUGAACGCUAGCUACAGGCUUAACACAUGCAAGUCGAGGGGCAUCGAGAGGUUAGCUUGCUAACCUUGUCGGCGACCGGCGCACGGGUGAGUAACGCGUAUCCAACCUUCCCCUUAGUAGGGCAUAGCCCGAUGAAAAUCGGAUUAAUACUCUAUGUUCUUCGUAGAUGGCAUCUGAAAUGAAGCAAAGGUUUACCGGUAUAGGAUGGGGAUGCGUCUGAUUAGGUUGUUGGCGGGGUAACGGCCCACCAAGCCUACGAUCAGUAGGGGUUCUGAGAGGAAGGUCCCCCACAUUGGAACUGAGACACGGUCCAAACUCC
rnacentral:rRNA from 1 species